GUUCUCAUAGUUGAAUUACAACGGUGGUUUUUCAAGCCGUUGGUCCUAGUUAAAGUCUUGGUGGGAACC
rnacentral:tRNA from 1 species